rnacentral:rRNA from 1 species
GAGUUUGAUCGUGGCUCAGGAUGAACGCUGGCGGCGUGCUUAACACAUGCAAGUCGAACGAAGCACUUAAGAUUGAUUCUUCGGAUGACGUCUUUUGUGACUUAGUGGCGGACGGGUGAGUAACGCGUGGGUAACCUGCCUUACACAGGGGGAUAACAGUUAGAAAUGACUGCUAAUACCGCAUAACCCGAUAGGAUCGCAUGAUCCAGACGGAAAAGAUUUACGGUGUGAGAUGGACCCCGCGUCUGAUUAGCCUAGUUGGUGAGGUAACGGCCCACCAAAGGCGACGAUCAGUAGCCGGACUGAGAGGGUGAACGGCCACAUUGGG